rnacentral:rRNA from 1 species
UACGGGGGGGGGCAAGCGUUGUUCGGAAUUACUGGGCGUAAAGGGCUCGUAGGCGGCCAACUAAGUCAGACGUGAAAUCCCUCGGCUUAACCGGGGGAACUGCGUCUGAUACUGGAUGGCUAGAGGUUGGGAGAGGGAUGCGGAAUUCCAGGUGUAGCGGUGAAAAUGCGUAGAUAUCUGGAGGAACACCGGUGGCGAAGGCGGCAUCCUGGACCAAUUCUGACGCUGAGGGAGCGAAAAGCCCAGGGGGGAGCAAAACGGG